AACGAACGCUGGCGGCGGGGCUUAGGCAUGCAAGUCGAGCGAGAAAGCCGCAAGGCAAGUACAGCGGCGUAAGGGUGAGUAAUAGGUAGUCAACGUAUCCAUGAGACGCGAAUAAUUUUCCGAAAGGGAUUGUAAUGCGCGAUGAGACCACGCUUCCUUCGGGGAGAGGGGUCAAAGGUCGGGGAUUCUUCGGAACCUGGCGCUGAUGGAGCGGACGACCUCCGAUUAGCUAGAUGGCGGGGUAACGGCCCACCAUGGCUGUGAUCGGUAGCCGGCCUGAGAGGGGAGAUCCCCCACACUGGUACUGACGACACGGACCAGACUCCUACGGGGAGCAGCAGUGAGGAAUAUUGGACAAGUGGGCGCAAGCCUGAUCCAGCCAUGCCGCGUGCAGGAUGAAGCAUCUAUGGUGUGUAAACUG
rnacentral:rRNA from 1 species